UACAGAGGGGGCAAGCGUUGUUCGGAAUUACUGGGCGUAAAGGGCGCGUAGGUGGCCUUCUAAGUCGAACGUGAAAUCCCUGGGCUCAACCCAGGAACUGCGUCCGAGACUGGGAGGCUUGAAUCCGGGAGAGGGAUGCAGAAUUCCAGGUGUAGCGGUGAAAUGCGUAGAUAUCUGGAGGAAUACCGGUGGCGAAGGCGGCAUCCUGGACCGGCAUUGACGCUGAGGAGCGAAAGCCAGGGGAGCAAACGGG
rnacentral:rRNA from 1 species